rnacentral:rRNA from 1 species
CAGCCGCCGCGGUAAUACGUAGGGUGCGAGCGUUAAUCGGAAUUACUGGGCGUAAAGCGUGCGCAGGCGGUUGUGUAAGACAGGUGUGAAAUCCCCAGGCUCAACCUGGGAAUGGCAAUGGAUACUGGCAAGCUAGAGUGUGUCAGAGGAUGGUGGAAUUCCCGGUGUAGCGGUGAAAUGCGUAGAGAUCGGGAGGAACAUCAGUGGCGAAGGCGGCCAUCUGGGACAACACUGACGCUGAGGCACGAAAGCGUGGGGAGCAAACAGGAUUAGAUACCCGGGUAGUCCCUGUCUCUUAUAC